GAAUUCGCCCUUAGAGUUUGAUCCUGGCUCAGGAUGAACGCUGGCGGCGCGCCUAACACAUGCAAGUCGAACGAGCGAGAGAGAGCUUGCUUUCUCAAGCGAGUGGCGAACGGGUGAGUAACGCGUGAGGAACCUGCCUCAAAGAGGGGGACAACAGUUGGAAACGACUGCUAAUACCGCAUAAGCCCACGACCCGGCAUCGGGUUGAGGGAAAAGGAGCAAUCCGCUUUGAGAUGGCCUCGCGUCCGAUUAGCUAGUUGGUGAGGUAACGGCCCACCAAGGCGACGAUCGGUAGCCGGACUGAGAGGUUGAACGGCCACAUUGGGACUGAGACACGGCCCAGACUCCUACGGGAGGCAGCAGUGGGGGAUAUUGCACAAUGGGGGAAACCCUGAUGCAGCGACGCCGCGUGGAGGAAGAAGGUUUUCGGAGUGUAAACUCCUGUCGUUAGGGACGAUAAUGACGGUACCUAACAAGAAAGCACCGGCUAACUACGUGCCAGCAGCCGCGGUAAAACGUAGGGUGCAAGCGUUGUCCGGAAUUACUGGGUGUAAAGGGAGCGCAGGCGGGAAGACAAGUUGGAAGUGAAAACCAUGGGCUCAACCCAUGAAUUGCUUUCAAAACUGUUUUUCUUGAGUAGUGCAGAGGUAGAUGGAAUUCCCGGUGUAGCGGUGGAAUGCGUAGAUAUCGGGAGGAACACCAGUGGCGAAGGCGGUCUACUGGGCACCAACUGACGCUGAGGCUCGAAAGCAUGGGUAGCAAACAGGAUUAGAUACCCUGGUAGUCCAUGCCGUAAACGAUGAUUACUAGGUGUUGGGGGAUUGACCCCCUCAGUGCCGCAGUUAACACAAUAAGUAAUCCACCUGGGGAGUACGACCGCAAGGUUGAAACUCAAAGGAAUUGACGGGGGCCCGCACAAGCAGCGGAGCAUGUGGUUUAAUUCGACGCAACGCGAAGAACCUUACCAGGUCUUGACAUCCACUUAAACUUACAGAGAUGUAAGGUGUGCUUGCACAAAGUGAGACAGGUGGUGCAUGGUUGUCGUCAGCUCGUGUCGUGAGAUGUUGGGUUAAGUCCCGCAACGAGCGCAACCCUUAUCUUCAGUUACUAACGCGUAGAGGUGAGGACUCUGAAGAGACUGCCGGGGACAACUCGGAGGAAGGUGGGGACGACGUCAAAUCAUCAUGCCCCUUAUGACCUGGGCUACACACGUGCUACAAUGGCCACGACAGAGAGAAGCGAAAUCGCAAGGUAGAGCGGAACUCAAAAAAGUGGUCCCAGUUCGGAUUGUGGGCUGCAACCCGCCCACAUGAAGUCGGAGUUGCUAGUAAUCGCGGAUCAGCAUGCCGCGGUGAAUACGUUCCCGGGCCUUGUACACACCGCCCGUCA
rnacentral:rRNA from 1 species